rnacentral:lncRNA from 1 species
GUGGUGGAUAAUUGUUCCAAGGAUAUGUUUCUCUAACAUGAAGCCAAUAAUUUGUUUUGUUUCUUUUUUUGGGGAGUGGGGGAGGGAAAUCAUUAGAAAGGAACCUUUUUGUUUUGUGGGUAUAGCAUUAUAAAGGAGCUGGUGAAGGGGAUGAAGGUGCUGGAAUUAAACAUAUGUUUGUUAAACAUGAAGUCAAGAACAUUUGGUGCUAAAUAAUAAAAGUUUAUCCCACAUAAAGCCCAGCUCACUUUGGUUGCUAACAAGGCCG